UUGACAACCUCCUCUCCUCGGAGCGGGGGCUCGGGGUAAAAGAACCCACGGCGCCGAAGGCGUCAAGGAACACUGUGCCUAGCUCGGGGAUGCGGCUGGCUUGCCGGCCGCACCCCUUGCUGCAAUGCUAUUUAAUCCACACGACUCUCGGCAACGGAUAUCUCGGCUCUCGCAUCGAUGAAGAACGUAGCGAAAUGCGAUACCUGGUGUGAAUUGCAGAAUCCCGCGAACCAUCGAGUCUUUGAACGCAAGUUGCGCCCGAGGCCAUCCGGCCGAGGGCACGCCUGCCUGGGCGUCACGCUAAACACGCUCCCACCCCCCUCAUCGGGGAGCGGGAUGCGGCAUGUGGCCUCCCGUCUCGCAAGGGGCGGUGGGCCGAAGAUAUGGCUGCCGGCGUAUCGUGCCGGACACAGCGCGUGGUGGGCGUCCUCGCUUUACUUACCGCAGGGCAUCCGGGNCGUAUGC
rnacentral:rRNA from 1 species